ACCCUGUUAGCAUGGGAUACGACCAUGGACGUGACCCACGCAGGGCGACGUCAUCACGUAGAACGUGCAGAGAGUGCCGUCAGUCUCCUCACCUUCAGUCUCUGAGUCUCUUAUCGUCCGGUCACAGAGGAACCUGGAUUAAACUUCUCUCUGGACUUUCAUCCUCCUCUUGGCUUUCCUCUCCUGCUCACCUGUUGCAGUUGCUCAUUUCUAAACCGGUUCCCCAACACCUGACUCAGAGCUUAUGAACCUGGGCAACGCCACUCGUCCCGAGAAAGGUCAGUAGCACCAAGUUCCUUGCCAGAAGUUUUCCCUAAGACGACUCCAACAGUUUGUCACCAACAACAGAAACAAUGAUGAUAAACUUCAUCAACACUAGUGUUUUUACGCAGCACAAUAAUGAAGUAUUCAGAAUAUAUGAGAAGACAGAAGAUCAAACAUGGACUUUGACCUAAAAGAGUGAAUGUGACACAUCAGAGCACAUUACACCUGAAUCACACAGGAAGCAGCACCACAAAAAUAAUUCAGUUUGUAGUAAAGAGACAAUUAAACAAAGAGUUUUCACCAGACCAGUGACAGAUCAUCACCACACCUGACACAUACAAAGCACAGCUCAGUGAGACGCCAACCAGCAGCAGCGACAGGUGCAGAUCUAGAAGUGCGAGUAUGAAGGAACUUCUUCACACCAGUCACUGUGCUGAGUCUCUGCUGCUGCCGUCUGCAAACCACAGAGGGGGAAUCACUCUGACAGGCUGAUGACAGCAGGUCUGUUUGAAACUGUUGAAGCACGUGACUGUUGCCAUCUCAUUUCCUGAAAAGUCGGCUUUCGAGGAAACAUAUAUAUCACAAGUGUCGCAGACGAUGUGAACGCUGAGUGUGUCUGUGUGUUGUGUCCA